CCUACGGGAGGCAGCAGUGGGGGAUAUUGCACAAUGGGGGAAACCCUGAUGCAGCGACGCCGCGUGUGGGAAGACGGUCCUCUGGAUUGUAAACCACUGUCCCCAGGGACGAAGAUGACGGUACCUGACUAAGAAGCUCCGGCUAACUACGUGCCAGCAGCCGCGGUAAUACGUAGGGGGCAAGCGUUAGCCGGAUUUACUUGGUGUAAAGGGAGCGUAGACGGUAGCGCAAGUCUGAAGGGAAAUGCCGUGGCCCAACCCCGGAACUGCUUUGGAAACUGUGCAACUCGAGUGCAGGAGAGGUAAGCGGAAUUCCUAGUGUAGCGGUGAAAUGCGUAGAUAUUAGGAGGAACACCAGUGGCGAAGGCGGCUUACUGGACUGUAACUGACGUUGAGGCUCGAAAGCGUGGGGAGCAAACAGGAUUAGAUACCCCUGUAGUC
rnacentral:rRNA from 1 species